rnacentral:rRNA from 1 species
AUUGAACGCUGGCGGCAGGCUUAACACAUGCAAGUCGAGCGGAGAUGAGGUGCUUGCACCUUAUCUUAGCGGCGGACGGGUGAGUAAUGCUUAGGAAUCUGCCUAUUAGUGGGGGACAACAUUCCGAAAGGAAUGCUAAUACCGCAUACGUCCUACGGGAGAAAUCAGGGGAUCUUCGGACCUUGCGCUAAUAGGUGAGCCUAAGUCGGAUUAGCUAGUUGGUGGGGUAAAGGCCUACCAAGGCGACGAUCUGUAGCGGGUCUGAGAGGAUGAUCCGCCACACUGGGACUGAGACACGGCCCAGACUCCUACGGGAGGCAGCAGUGGGGAAUAUUGGACAAUGGGGGGAACCCUGAUCCAGCCAUGCCGCGUGUGUGAAGAAGGCCUUAUGGUUGUAAAGCACUUUAAGCGAGGAGGAGGCUACUGAGACUAAUACUCUUGGAUAGUGGACGUUACUCGCAGAAUAAGCACCGGCUAACUCUGUGCCAGCCGCCGCAGUAACAC